AAAACAUAUCCUCUUCAAAAAAAUAGACCACCCCAAGUUUUCCAUGGACAAUUCUCAAAAUUAUUCAUCUAUUAGUUGUGAAAUACAAAUAAUAAGAGCAAGAAACGUUGAGCAAAUAAGAUCCGUAGGAGGCAGUUUGUUUGUUAGAUGCUAUCUUUCCGCAGGAGAGCAGCAAAGAGUUCAAAUAAAAACCCAAGAAAUCCUAUCAAAAUCUGACUUGUCAUGGAACGAGUCAUUCUCAUUGAAUUGCUUGGGAAAUGAAAAAUCAAUUAAUAUGCUCAAGCAAGGAAGUGUAGUCUUCGAACUUCACUCAAGAAAAGUUGUGCCAGUUUUUGGUACAGUUAGUGGCUCAAAAAUCAUGGGAAGGGCUGAAGUUCCAUGGAGAAGUGUAUUUGAGUCAAAAAAUAUGGAGAUUGAGGAGUGGGCAAUUAUCAUGGAUUCAAAGAAGAGAAAUUUGCAUGAAGAUGUGAAGCCUAUGGCACUGCAAAUAUCAAUGAAGGUUAGUGUAAAAGAGACAAAAAAAGUGAAGAAAAAUGAUAGUACCAUGGAUAAGUGUGGUUGCAUGGACUAUUGCGGGUGUAAUAGUACCAUUUUCAGUGCUGAAGAUAAUGAAGUAUUUGCACUUGGAGCUGCUCUAGAUGCCUUGUAAGAUAAAGACUGCUCUAUAGGGUCAAAUUUGACCCUGGACGUACGUCCUCAAGCAUAUAUAGACUAGAAUGAGAAUAUGACCUGGACGUGAUGACAAAUGUGACGUCAUUUGAAGACUCAGCGCUUUCACUCAAUGGAUAUUACCUACUUUUGUAUCUUUUUAAUUAUUUCGAGUAGGGUCUCGUGUUAUAUAAAGGAGACCCUAACAUUGUAAAGAGGGCAUCAACAUUACUCGUGAAGAAUACAACUCUUCUCUCUCCAUCUUGGUCUCUAUCUCUAACGAUCACUUCUCUCUUAAGUUUAUACUACCUUUUCAUCUUUCAGAUCUAUAUUAACAAUAUCGUCCUUCGAAUCUCUAAGUCGUAUUAUAUUUGAUUAUGAUUUACCCUCGUUUAUUUUU
rnacentral:lncRNA from 1 species